rnacentral:lncRNA from 1 species
CUUCUCAACCAGUUUACCUCUCUGACCGCUCUUACGGUGUUUGGGGGCAAAAAACUAAGGAUCUAGACUCUCUAAACCGCUCGCUGGGUCCUUCUCUCCCCACAAUGCACCGGGGCCAGCAGGAAGGCCGCUCCGACCCCUAAUUUUCCCGCGAAUUCAGUUCAAAGAGGCGGCCGGGCCCGCGAUCGGCAGCGCGCACCGGCCAACCAAGCCGCGCCUCCGCGAGAAGCGCCUCCGCGUGACUGACGGGGGAAUCCGCGGGCCAACGGGCUGGGCGGCCCGGCGGUGCGCGCUCCCGCCGGCCAAUCAGAGCGCCGGGCGGGGGAAGUGGGCGGAGCGAGGCCUGGGUAGGGUGAGCGGCCUCCGAAGCGGAGCGGGGCUCUGAGGAGACACUUUUUCUUCCUCCCUCCUUCCCUCCUCUCCUCCUGCCUUCCCUUCCCCUUUCCUCCCCUCUCUCCUCCUUCUCCCCUCGGUCAGCCGGAGCCUGCUGGGGCGAGCGGUUGGUAUUGCAGGCGCUUACUCUCCGGGGCCGCCCGGCGAGUAGCUGGCCGGGGAAGGAGGCAGGAACCGCGAUGGCGCCUCAGAAGCACGGCGGUGGGGGAGGGGGCGGCUCGGGGCCCAGCGCGGGGUCCGGGGGAGGCGGCUUCGGGGGUUCGGCGGCGACGGCUUCGAGCGGCAAAUCCGGCGGCGGGGGCUGUGGAGGCGGUGGCAGUUACUCGGCCUCCUCCUCCUCCGCGGCGUUACCGGUGAAGAAGUCGAAAAUGGAGCACGUCCAGGCUGACCACGAGCUUUUCCUCCAGGCCUUUGAGAAGCCAACACAGAUCUAUAGAUUUCUUUGAACUCGGAAUCUCAUAGCACCAAUAUUUUUGCACAGAACUCUUACUUACAUGUCUCAUCGAAACUCCAGAACAAACAUCAAAAGGAAAACAUUUAAAGUUGAUGAUAUGUUAUCAAAAGUAGAGAAAAUGAAAGGAGAGCAAGAAUCUCAUAGCUUGUCAGCUCAUUUGCAGCUUACAUUUUUGGUUUCUUCCACAAAAAUGAUAAGCCAUCACCAAACUCAGAAAAUGAACAAAAUUCUGUUACCCUGGAAGUCCUGCUUGUGAAAGUUUGCCACAAAAAAAGAAAGGAUGUAUGUUGUCCAAUAAGGCAAGUUCCCACAGGUAAAAAGCAGGUGCCUUUGAAUCCUGACCUCAAUCAAACAAAACCUGGAAAUUUCCCGUCCCUUGCAGUUUCCAGUAAUGAAUUUGAACCUAGUAACAGCCACAUGGUGAAGUCUUACUCGUUGCUAUUUAGAGUGACUCGUCCAAGAAGAAGAGAGUUUAAUGGAAUGAUUAAUGGAGAAACCAUGAAAAUAUUGAUGUCAGUGAAGAGCUUCCAGCCAGAAGAAAAUGAAAUCGUGAGGAUGGGGAAAAGACAUUUGUUGCACAAAUGACAGUAUUUGAUAAAAACAGUUUCAUCCUUGUUGCCCAGGCUGGAGUGCAAUGGCGCGAUCUCAGCUCACUGCAACCUCUGCCUCCCUGGUUCAAGCGAUUCUCCUGCCUCAGCCUCCUGAAUGUCAGUACUUUGUGUGCUCUUGAAAUAGGAAAUGUACAGAUCCCUAUUGCCAGACACAUCAUUCUCUCCAUCCAGAAAGCCAACUUUGCAAGGACAAAAAAAAAAAUUAGUGUGAAACAAAAUGUGGCUUUUCCAAAGACAGAUGUGAUUAUUUAUAGUCAAUGUGGCCUCAAAAUGUCAUUGAUUGUGAAAUAGCAAACAUGCAGGAUCAUAAUAUUUGGACGGAAUCUUGCACUGUCUCCCAGGCUGGAGUGCAGUGGCACGAUCUCUGCUCACUGCAACCUCCGCCUCCAGGCUUCCAGUGAUUCUCCUGCUUCAGCCUCCCGAGUAGCUGGGACUACAGGCGCACCUCACCACACCCAGCUAAUUUUUAGUAUUUUUAGUAGAGACGAGGUUUCACUAUGUUGGCCAGGAUGGUCUCGAUCUCCUGACCUCGUGAUCUGCCCACCUCGGCCUCCCAAAGUGCUGGGAUAAUAUGCAUGAGCCACAGUGCCCGGCCUAUGCUUUUUUUCUUUUUUUUGAGACGGAGUCUCGCUCAGUCACCCAGGCUGGAGUACAGUGGCGCGAUCUCAGCUCACUGUAACCUCUGCCUCCCAGGCUCAAGCAAUUCUCAUGCCUCAGCCUCCUGAGUGGCUGGGAUUAUAGGUGUGUGCCACCACACCCUGCUAAUUUUUUUUUUCUUUUUGAGACGGGUCUUGCCCUGUUGCCAGGCUGAAGUGCAAUGGCUCACUGCAACAUUUGCCUCCCGGGUUCAAGUGAUUCUCCUGCCUCACUCUCCCUAGUUGCUGGGAUUACAGGUGUGCACUACCACAUCCAGCUAAUUUUUGUAUUUUUAGUAAAGAUGGGGUUUCACCAUGUUGGCCAGGGUGGUGUCUUGAUCUCCUAACCUUGUGAUCCACCCACCUCAGCCUCCCGAAGUGCUGGGAUUACAGGCGGGAGCCAUUGCGCCUGUCCUAAUAUUUGUAUUUUUAGUAAAGAUGGGGUUUUACCAGGUUGACCAGGCUGGUCUCGAACUCCUGACCACAAGUGAUCCAACCGCCUCGGCCUCCCAAAGUGCUGGGAUUACAAGUGUGAGCCACUGCGUCCAGUCUCUUGGCCUCUAAAAUUUUUUUUUUUUUU